rnacentral:misc_RNA from 1 species
GAUGAAGAACGCAGUGAAAUGCGAUAAGUAGUGUGAAUUGCAGAAUUCAGUGAAUCAUCGAAUCUUUGAACGCACAUUGCGCCCUUUGGUAUUCCUUAGGGCAUGCCUGUUCGAGCGUCAUUUAAACCUUCAAGCUCAGCUUGGUGAUGGGCGACUGUCCCCCCCCCUCGCGGGGGGGACUCGCCUCAAAAACAUUGGCGGCCGGUACAUUGGCUUCGAGCGAAGCAGAAACGCGGUCUCGAGCCCGGUGGAUCGGCUCCCAUAAGCCUAUUCUUUUAUUUUGACCUCGGAUCAGGUAGGGAUACCCGCUGAACUUAAGCAUAUCAAUAAGCGGAGGA